rnacentral:siRNA from 1 species
CCCGAUUGCCGACCCUCAG